rnacentral:lncRNA from 1 species
GCAUGUGAGCCCUGGUGUGGGGACCGGGGCUGGAAUUCCUCUCCCGUGUAAAAUGGAGUCAACGAUAGUCCCGCCUUGUAGGGUCAUUGUUACAGAACAAGGAUCAUGGUGAGCACUCAAUGAAAAUGGCUGCUGAGAUGUCCCCUAGGGGCCACCAACAAACUUGGUGACACUCACAGGCCAUCACUCUAGCUCACAUGGACUCAAAACAUGGAGCCCCUGGGCAGGGCUCUUUCUUACCCCUCCCAGACCACACAGUACCCACCUGAGGGUGUUGCUCAUUGUGUCCUCAGGGUCCUCCAGGUCUUCCCACUCACUGUCACUCCCAUGACUCCUUUCCAGUGGCCAGGACUCUGGACAAGCAUGCCCAGAACAGAACUGUGGCAAUGGAAUGGUCCCCGAAUCCACCUCCAAACAGUCUCCACAGGGCAGCUGGCCUUCGGACGUACAGUGGAUGCUCAGGUACUCUUCAUCCUCCCAGUAAGGCUCAGCUUUCUCUGCCUCUCUAGCAUCAGGCUCCACCCUACUGUCCCAUUGACCCUAGGAGUGCAGCUGGAAGCUCUGGGCCUCUGCUCCUAUGAGCUGCACUUAGCUUUUGGAGGGUCAGUUUGCAGCAGUUCCAAGACCUCAAGGUAGAGAAGACCAGGGCACUGCAGAUCUGAAGCACCAACGGUAAGCCCUAGCUAGAGAUAUGUGUUUAACUGUUGUCAGAGAGGGAUUGUGGUUGGGGAGGUGAGUUGUUCUGGAACCCUGGAGGUGUGUGAGAGAACCCUGCAAAGGCAGCAUUCAGACCUCUGCCUGCCAUAGGCCCUGCUGUGUGUUAGGCUACCACUGGUCCUGGCUGGGCUGCGCCUUACCCUUUCCACCCAGCCAGCUUCUGUCCUCACGAGCUGCUCUCAUCACAGAUGGCCUGGCACCUACAUUUGAGUUAAACCUUUAGUCUUCUAAGCAUCCCUUGAUUUCCAGGCACAGUGGCCUUCUGAGAAUGGGUCUGGUCAGUUUAGGUCCAUUUCAAGGACUCUUGCUUUACUUCACCUUCUUAAGUGACCACAAAGACUUACAUUAUUACUUUUACAGAAUGAUACUUGGUGAAUUUACAUGUAUUUUACUUACAUGGAGUCAACUCUAUAUGAGAGAGAGAAAGAGGGAGAAAGAAAUGACUUUAAAUGUUCUGCAAUGACCAGCUUUCCACUUACUGGAUACACACCCUAAACACGUGGGAGCAGGGAAACUUCCACCUCCUCAGGCAGUCUCAGCUCCUGGAUAUACAUUUUACAAAGAGCACAUCCCAUAAAUACAAGCCUUUAGAUUUUUAACUAGGGUUCAACCAAUGAAAAAAUGAUUUGCUCCCAUACCUGGGAAGCAUAUAGCAUCAUACUAUCCAAAGUGAUGUUCAGGGGUAACGUGCCUUAAUGUGAUUUUCACCUCCUACCCAAACUUUAGAAAUUAACCUUGCAUAAGCUGCAUCCCAGCCAAGCUGUCCUCAUAACAGGCACACAGUCCCAAGUUUCCUCCACGACAUAUACUAUACACUACUUCUCUAUAAUGCCAUGCUUUGUAAGGAUCUACUGCUCCUUGAUUUUUAAAAAUCACUAGGAAUAGAAUUUAGAAGAAAAUGAGAAAUAAAAAGUAAAAUGCAAUCUUCUCCAAGCAUACUCUGGCUUUUCUAGGGUGCUGGCAGCCAUCUGGUGUUAGGAAGUAGCCACCUGGCAGAUCGUACGUUCUGGCAGUUGGAUGGGAAUUUCAAUUGAUGGGACCUGUCCUUUAGCUAGAAAUAGCACAGGAAAGGGAAUGCAUACAGACUUGUGUUGAGUCCUACUGUGUGCCAGGUGCCGAAAUGUGUUUUUCUUUUGACCUACACAGUGACUUGUGGAAUGGCCAUGGUCCUUGUUUAUAACUAGGAAGGGACAUCAGCUCUCCAGGGACACCACUCAGUUGCAAAUGUGAAAACAAGCUCUGUGAUCCUGAAGUUCCUGCUCUGUUUAUUCUAAACUGCACAAAGUGAUUUGACUCAGAUGUUAGAAUCAAAGAGGUUGUUGGUCUCAGAAAGCCAGCUGAGAACUGCGGACACAUCUAGGGAGGUCUGACAGAGCCAUUACCCCACUCUGUCAUUCUAGUUCCAAACCUAAACAAGAGUGGGGACUGUCUUGGGUGACUGCUGGGCAAGUGCCAUGCUUUCUUUCCUGUGGGGGUGAUCACUAGCCACAUGCAUGUGGAGCACAGGCUAAUGUCCUGUUGGAGGAGCUCUCAGAGUUUGAGUCCUCCUUUGGGGGGUGUGGAAAGAUUGCUGAGUGGGAAAGAGAGAAUAGGGUAAAAAUAAAGCCAAGAAGUGCACAGAAAAGUUGCUGCCCAUGGCUGCAUGUACCACAGCUGAAGAUCAGAGGCUCCACUAGAAUGUUCUGGACAACUUUAAUGCCUCUCUUGUGUGACCCUCCAAAGGGAGACCUUUCCAAGAAUGACAGAUUUUGGACAUCUGGUACACCCUGGCAAGUAAGAACACCAAGCAAAAUUUAAUUUGAUUCAGAAAAACUAAAUAAUGUGAUUAUUUUUGCCAAAAAAAUGACAAAAAAUAAGUAGAUGACAUAAGAAGGUGGAUUUCACCUUAAUAUAAGGAAGCAUUUUCUGAUCAGUGACUGCAUGGUGAUAAAAUAGGUCACCUCAAGUGGGACUGAGCUCUGCGUGCCUGGAAUUAUUUGAGCAAAUGCCAGUAUUUCUUAAGAGCAGGAUGUUACAGUGCAUGGAGUACGAGGUUAGGUUCAACCAUUUGACACUGAACAGCCUGAUAUUCCAUGGCACCAGGAAUGAAGCAUUUCUUACAUAUGCUGAUGGUUACUAAAUAACAAUAUUAAUAAUAAUAUCUGCUUUAAGUAACUAUUGAGUGUACUGGAAUAUAGAGACAGUGAAGAAUCCAGAGCCACUUUGUAAUUCAGCAGUCAGGGUCCCUGUUCAUCCUCCCAAACUAUCUGGUAGCAAAAUCUUUAAAAAUACAAACAAAUGUUUCCUUGUCUGCAGGAAGAGAGAGUUUGUAUAUGUCCUAUAUGGUUGUCCUUGGAUAAAUCCCUGUAGGUUAUUCACUUUAUUAUUUUGUUAAGUGUAUCAAGCACUACCUAGAGUGCACUCUUAAAGGCAGCAAUAAAUACACUGAUGUUUCUAGUCACUAUCAGAUGAUGGAAAUGAGAAUCACUGAUGGAUGUGCUUGCCCACCCUGUUCUACUGCACAAAUUUGUGCAUUGUUUGGCUGGUGCAUUGUUCUUCUAGAGCUUGUAUCUGGAUGCUUCCAGAAGUGUGUGCCUGGUUCCUGUUUGUCACAGUUCUUCUCCCAGGGCCCCAUUAUCUAACACUCACCACUGCUGCAUGAGUGCCCUCUGUGUCCAUGGGGAGGAGUUCCAGGACCCCCUCAGUUACCCAAGUCCCCAGAUGCUGGAGUCCCUUACAUAAAAUGUAGCACAUAUUUGUGUACAACCUACACACACCCUACUAUAUUUUUUAAAUCAUCCUUAGAUUACUUAUAAUUCUAAAUAUAGUGGGAAUGUUAUAUAAACAGUUGUCACAUUGUGUUAUUUAGGGGUAAUGACAAAAAAUCUGUAGAUGUUAAAUCCAGAUGCAGUUUUUCUUCUAAUAUAGUCAAUCUAUGGUGGCUUGGAUCCACAAAUGUAGACCCCACGGGUCCAGUCCCUACGAAUCUGCUCUAGUCACUUGCCUAGGAUGGCCACCAAAUAGGAGCAAUUUGAUCCCAGCAGGUUUGUACAGUGACAAACACAAAUGACACUGGCCUGUCUUGAGCCCAUGCAUUGAGCUAGCAAAUGCUUAAAAGCAGCAGCUGAGCCUGCAUUUGUACCCGUCUCUCUGCUCCUAACAGGUUUCCAAGCACAUUGGGUAUACAUCAUAGACACUGUUUAGAGUGAACUGAGGAUUAUGCUUGUCAGACAACAGGACCAGAAACUAGAAACACUUAAGGGUGAAUGGACACAAAAAUAUAGGCUAAAUGAAAAAAUGGUUAUUAAAGUGAAGGUUUCAGUCUGGGUUUGAAGGUGUAAAUGUAUUUUUAACGCUUUAUUAGCACAAAAAAUGAGGAUGCAUACUACAACUGCUUUCAUACCACAGUGGUUUAAAAGGCUGUGAUGGUGCAGGAUAAAGGUCUGCAUGCUGGGAAAGCACUCCAGAUCUGCCAUCUGCAGCCUGAAAAACAUCCUGGGGACAAUCAUGGCCUGGCUGGGGUUUGUUUCCCCAAAGCUCACAAGUUGUGGAUGCAGCAACUCAGACCUAUGCUCCUCUGUUUCUGCCUCUCCCCCAAGAGCCCAGAAACACUGCUGGGCACAGGACACAUCUGGGUAUAGUCACUGAUUACUUCCUGGUAAUCAUCUAGCAAUGCAAUAUACACAAUUUAUAAAAUGUCUGCAAAGUCGCAAGGCUUACCUGCUAAGUCUCCUGAUGUCACACACAGAAUAGCAGUUCUGCCUCAUAUCCUGUUCCAAAGGGGUAGCCAGGGGUGACACCUCUGAAUCUUUGUGACGCUGGCAUAAGUGAUGGGACUGCAGGGGAAGUGCCAAGGACUUGGCCCAGGGUCUGUCCCUGUCUUGACUCCCUUGCGCCCCUCCAAGAGCCAGGCCUUCUCCUGCAUCUAGGGAGGUGCUGUCCCUCCAGCUGUCCUCCUGAUCCAGGCUGGGGCUCUGCUCUGAAUCUGUACAUGUCGUCCUGGUGAAUUCUUUGCCCAUCGGUGUCUAUUAAAAGAAAAGCUAAUGGUUACUGCCUCUAUAGUCACACUAGGAAAGCUCUAAAGCUUGCUUCUUCAAGAAAUGAAAAGUUAUUUUUUAUGUUAUUGUAGAUCAGAGCAAAUAAGAGAUAGACUUGGGGUCAGCUACUCUCCAUCAGCUCCCCACAGACUUCCUGGACCCCAGGGAGUGAAACACAUGGCUCUUCCCCCAAACGUGACUUGAUUUUCCUCUACUCUUCACAGCCUUGUUGGUGCUGCGGUUCUGUCUCCGAGGCCCUGCUGCAACUUGCUAGUGCUGCAAAAUGCUAUGCAGCACCACAACCUGCAUUUCCUUGGACACCGGGCUUUGUCCCCAGCUCAUCGUUCUCAGCUUUCUGAUUCCAGCCACAAGCAUGGUCUUACAGCUAUUUCACAACUCAAGAGAUAAUUAUGUUCUUUGAAAUCUCUUUUGAACCAAUUUUAGCAUCUGCCUGCUUCCCUGUGUGAAUGAGUUUUAAAAAAUCUUUAGCAUGUAUUCCUAUUUAUAACUCUACAGAGUAAUGACUUUAUCUUCUCCUAGAAACUGAGCUGGCACUUCCAUCCCAUCAUCCACAUCCAGGUAUAACAGAGGCAUCUUCACUCUUGGCACCCAUGGAGGGACAUGCUCACAAAACGCACACUCACUUAAUUGUAAAUUGUAAACAUGGCUCCACGGAUAGACUGUGUACAUACCAAAGAACAUACCAAAAAUUAAAAUUUAAAAUAAAUGACAUAAAAAGUAGAGAAAGAGC